rnacentral:rRNA from 1 species
GACGAACGCUGGCGGCGUGCUUAACACAUGCAAGUCGAACGGAAAGGCCUGCUUUCCCUUGUGGUUUGCGGGUACUCGGGUGGCGAACGGGUGAGUACCACGUAAGUGAUCUGCCCCCAACUUGGGUAUAAGCCUGGGAAACAGGGUCAAAUUCCCGAAAGGACGGCAGGGUGGUGCCUGUGGUGGAAAACGAUUUUCUAGUGGUUGGGGAUGAGCUCGCGGCCAAUCAGCUUGUUGGUGGGGUAAUGGCCUACCAAGGCGGCGACGGGUAGCCGGCCUGAGAGGGUGGACGGCCACAUUGGGACUGGGUUACGGCCCAGACUCCUACGGGAGGCAGCAGUGGGGAAUAUUGCACCAUGGGCGGAAGCCUGCUGCAGCGACGCCGCGUGGGGGAUGACGGCCUUCUGGUUGUAAUCUGCUUUCGACCGCGAGGAAGCCACCUGGUUGGAGGGGUGGUGACGGUAGUGGUAGAAGAAGCACCGGCUAACUACGUG